GGGGAAUAUUGGACAAUGGGCGAAAGCCUGAUCCAGCCAUGCCGCGUGAGUGAUGACGGCCCUAGGGUUGUAAAGCUCUUUCGCAGGUGAAGAUAAUGACGGUAACCUGAGAAGAAGCCCCGGCUAACUUCGUGCCAGCAGCCGCGGUAAUACGAAGGGGGCUAGCGUUGUUCGGAAUUACUGGGCGUAAAGCGCACGUAGGCGGAUACUUUAGUUAGGGGUGAAAUCCCAGGGCUCAACCCUGGAACUGCCUCUAAUACUGGGUAUCUCGAGUCCGAGAGAGGUGAGUGGAAUUCCGAGUGUAGAGGUGAAAUUCGUAGAUAUUCGGAGGAACACCAGUGGCGAAGGCGGCUCACUGGCUCGGUACUGACGCUGAGGUGCGAAAGCGUGGGGAGCAAAC
rnacentral:rRNA from 1 species